rnacentral:misc_RNA from 1 species
GAUGAAGAACGUAGCGAAAUGCGAUAAGUAAUGUGAAUUGCAGAAUUCAGUGAAUCAUCGAAUCUUUGAACGCACAUUGCGCCCGCCAAUAUUCUGGCGGGCAUGCCUGUUCGAGCGUCAUUUCAACCAUCAAGCCCCCGGCUUGUGUUGGGGACCUGCGGCUGCCGCAGGCCCUGAAAACCAGUGGCGGGCUCGCUAGUCACUCCGAGCGUAGUAAUACAUCUCGCUCAGGGCGUGCUGCGGGUUCCGGCCGUUAAAAAGCCUUAUUUACCCAAGGUUGACCUCGGAUCAGGUAGGAAGACCCGCUGAACUUAAGCAUAUCAUAAGCGGAGGA